UACGAAGGGGGCUAGCGUUGUUCGGAAUUACUGGGCGUAAAGCGCGUGUAGGCGGGUCUUUAAGUCAGGGGUAAAAUGCCAAGGCUCAACCUUGGAACUGCCUUUGAUACUGGAGACCUUGAGUCCGGGAGAGGUGAGUGGAAUUGCGAGUGUAGAGGUGAAAUUCGUAGAUAUUCGCAAGAACACCAGUGGCGAAGGCGGCUCACUGGCCCGGAACUGACGCUGAGACGCGAAAGCGUGGGGAGCAAACAGG
rnacentral:rRNA from 1 species